UAAUUAGCGUCGUUCUUUGGUAAACCCGCACUGUGCAUUCGAAGAAGAAGAAUGAGGAAGGAAUACAAGACGUGACCUUCCUUCUCAGUUAUAAAACAAAAACGCACGCGGGCGCGCGUACAAUCAAAAGCAAAACCAGACAUCGUUCAAUUCAAGACCUAAAAGGUCGCAUAAAAGGACGCCCUGCGAACAAAGGGCCUGGUCUUCGCAGAAGCGAAACCAGGCAUGCUUUACAAGGAGCAGAGGAAUUAGGGUUUUAAUGGAGGUCUCGUCUGCUUCGGAUCAAGGCGACCAGGUCCGCGUAAAGAGGCAGACGUUGCAGGCGGUGCUUGAGCAAUGCCAGAGAGCGAUGGAGCUUCUGAGGACGACUGCUGACCCCAGAGAUGGAGAGGAAGUGGAUGAGGGGACCGCUCAAUGUUGUGAUUCCGAAACAGAUGAGCUAUGUGAUCUUCUCAGAUCUAGAGUCGAAUCGCCUGAGUUUCUUGAAAAGUUGGGAUCCAUUCACAUGUCAGUUCCUAAUUGUGCAGCAGGUGGCACAGAAGAAUGCAGCACUUGGGAUGUGAUUAGUAAGACUGAUUUAUGGGAGGGUGAAAAUAUUAAUGGAGAAAAUGGACCUGACCAGGAAGAUUAUGUUGUGGUAAGGCAAGAAGACAUUGUGGACGGAAUCGCGUGCUUCAUGGCUGCUUAUCUAUUGUCACUGAAACAAACUAAAGAAUUAACACCCAAUCAACUCCAAGAAGCUCUGAGCAAAACAUUCUCUGUCAAAAAGAAAAAGGGGAAACUUCAGAGAGCAUGGGAUGGAAGCAAAGUUAUCUACAAUGUAGCAUCUUGGGGAGCCACUGCCAUUGGAUGAUACUAUUUAUGUUGGCAAAGACUACAGAGAUUGUCGUACUGUGUCUUGAUAUUUGUUCUAAAGUUGGAUCUCAAAAGCAAACUGAAAAAAGGGAAAAAUGUUUCAGAAAGUAAAAUGCCUGGAUAAGUCAAUUUAUGGUCCAGAAAAUCAUGGGAUAUACCAGAAUCCAGCUUUGUUCAGGGCAGCCUCUGCGGCCUUCUGGACUUCCUGUCAUGUAAUAUCAAAGCUAUUGUGAGUUUCCUUUGUGGUUGGAGAAGACCCACUAGGGAUUUGCUCUUUGGCACUCCAUGAACCCUUUCGUGACCAAAGAUGUGACGCCAUUUCAGUGAUCAGGAAAUUGUGAAGGUGAUUGAUCAUGCUUCCAUAUGUAUUCUUCUGUAUAUAAAUCUCUCGUCUCUCUCGCAAUUUCUCAUGACAUUUGGCAUUAUUUGAUAUCUUAAGCUUUGUACAUAAAUCCAUGAACCAGUUUGCAAUCGAAUUAAUUUCCAUGUUGAGCAUUGCUCCUUGGCAUCAUCUGAAAGAAAUGGUUGGUGUUUCUUGUGCUAUG